CCCCCUUAAAACCCCUGUAUCGAUCCAAAACCCUCAUUCCCCAUCAUCUUCUUCCUUCCUCACCUGCUUCAAACCCUAACAAUGGUGGUAUGCACAUGUGGAGCUCCGACGCAGCUUCGCACAUCUUGGACCACACAAAACCCAGGUCGUCGAUUCCAUCGUUGCAACAAACCUAAGCCAGUAAGUCGAUUAAACUCCUUUCCCCAGUAAGUCGAUUAAACUCCUUUCCAUCGUUGCAGGGCUCUUGAUUUGAGAAAUUAUCUUAACGAGCUUUUCGAUCGGUGUCGGAAAGAUUUUUAUCGCAUAGUUUGUGAUCGUGUUGUUGAGGUGAGGCGGUUAUUUUGUUACUGUUUUGAUUUAUCGGUUAAUUGAUUCUGGCUUAUUAAUUGUUACGUGUAUAUAUGACGUUGAUGAUAUCAAUUUGAAUAGAUAUAAAAUUGUUUAUGCCGAUUGCUUAUAAAAUUGUUUUUUUAUGCUUCCAGCUUCUUCAUUGUUACAUGUAUCUAUGAUGUUUAUAUCCUUCAUUGCGAGGAUGCUUAUGUUGAGGUAUUAUUCUUCACCGGAUUUUGUUGGAAGAUUGCCAUUCCUUGAAUCCUGAAAAAAAGUUAGCAACUGUGUGGUAAGCCAGCCUCAUUUGUAUUUAUGUCUUUGCCAUUGAUUUUAAUAGUGUUUAAAGAGAAGAACAAGUGCGUGUUUUUUCUCUUUUUAUGUUUUUAUGUCUCCUUUAAAGAGAAGAGAAUGUACAUGAUGGUAAAAAGAUAAACAUAGAUGAAGAAGAUACAAUAUUGAUGAUGAUGAUAAUGGCUGAAGAUGAACGAUGGCGACAACAGUGGCUGAAUUAGGGUUCCGCUCAGAAUCUUUGAUAUUUCGGCCAGAAGCUAGGGUUUCGAUGGUAGGUUCCACCGUUCCAGCGACACAGGUUUGCAUGUGUUUUAAAAGACAUCAACAUUCGGGUGAUGAACAUUGUAUUCGUUGAUUCCUCGGGAUAUGCUAUCGAUAUAUUGGUUAUCAAGUACAUAACAAGUCUCUUUAAUCAUAUGAUUAAGCUAUAUCCUGAAUCAUAUGAUUAGUGUUAUCCUUAAUAAAAUUGGGUUAUAUCCAUUGUAAAAUGGGUUAACUUCCGGACUGGUUGCUGCUAUAUCAGAUGUACUUUUGAUGAAUAAAAUUCAAUUUUGUGGUUCUUAUUCUAAUUUGAACUGCAAUGAUCUCUGUAUACAACUGCAUAAGUAGCUUUUAAUAGUUGCUCUUAAGAAAUGCUUUUGGUGCGGUCUUUGUCAACUGAAAGUUUGCGUUCUGUCAUAACUUGAUAUAACUUGAUAUUUACUUUGAAAAUACCUUUCUUUAUAAUGAUAUGCUCAAACUGCAGUUUUAUUUCCAUAUAUUUAAAUGAGAUUGAGAAGUUUAAAAAGAAGCUUGCUAAAGUAGUUGAUGAUCAGAUCGAUGGACAUGAUGGUGCAGUUUUGGCUUCGUGAGUUUUGUUUCGGCAUCGGGUAUGUGUUACUAACUGACUGCCUGCUUUUAUAUUUGAUGAAAGCAUAUAUUUUAUAGAGUUAUACUAAAUUUGAAGUAGAUUAAGGAGAUUAAUUUGUUAGGCUGGAAUGAAGAGAGGGUGCGUGGUUACACCGAGGGUUUCUGGAUUGCUUAUUGUUGUAGAUUUUAUGGGUUUUAUUGCUAUAAUUGUAUUUGGCUAGGCACGGGUAUGUUCAUGUGGUAUUUUAAAUUUUUUAGCUUUCAUGUGUAAUGGUGAAAACUGAAAUAUAUUAUAUGUUUUUUUUGCUGUGAUGCUAAUGUUAUAGGAGCAGCUGCUUUUGUGUUCUUAUCUUCCCAUUUUGGGUGCUAAAUAAUAAAGAAAAAAACUAUGCAAUAUUUCCACUUAGUUUUUAUUCACAUUUAUUGAUUUUUGAUAUAUUUAGAAGCAUGCUUUAUUUUUUCACUCAUUUUCAGGAUACAAGUGAUCGUGGGUGGCUUUAUUGUUAAUAAAGCUUAACUGAUUUGGAGAUAAUGGAUAGACGUAAAAACAUUAAUUGCUCUUCCAAGAGCAAGAUCACUUAGAGAUGCAGACACUAAAUUAGGGAUGAGCAUGGUACCCGUUCGGUACCGACAGUAUCGGCACCGGUAUGGUAGCGGUAUUUACCGGUGUUUUGCCCGUAAAUACCGGUACCGGUACUGAAAAAUGGGAAAAAUGGAUACCCGUUUGACCCAUGUGAGGCAAUGGUCUAAGGUUCAACAAGAGCCACUAAACCAACCUUCGUCUAGGUACCUUGCAUAUUUUGUAUAUGUUUGUGUUCUGUCAAACAUAAUGAUCUUUAGUAAUUGCAGAGGAGAUGCAUUUAAACCUUUAAUCUACACACUUACUUUUACAAUAUUGUUUUUUUUUAUGAUAAACAAUAGUUUUUUUUAAUUGCUACAAUGAUUUGGAUAAGCCGCUAAUCUAACACAAAUGUUAUUAAUUUGAAAGAAUUUGUGUAUAAUAAAUAAUAUUUAGAUAUAGAAAUCUUAUUUUUUAAUUACAAGGUGUAAUGAUGACUUAUGUGGUGUAGGGAGUUGUGUAGUGAACUAACUAAAUGUUGUUAGUAUCUUUAAACUUUUGUGAUGUUUAGGUUUAAGGUUUAGAUUGGAUUAUGAACAUAUCUUUCAUCGGGAGGUUAGUUACUUUGUGAUGUUAUUUGAUGUUUAUCUUUUAUUUUGCAGAUCUAAGUGAUGGCCGUUAGCCAGAAGUUCUACAUGGGUUAGAGAAACAGUAAAUGUUGUUUGUCGGGGGCACCUUAAUCCUUAAUAAAAGUAAAAAAAAAAUAUAAUGUUUUAUCCUUCUAUGCAUUUUAACUAUAUUUUCACUUUGUCAAUAAGUAAUUUAUGUAAUAAAUAUAUGUCACUUUAUUGGUAUUUAUAUUAUUUGUACACUUUGUGAUAAUGUAUAUUAAAUUUUCCGACCCGCGAAGUUCGCGGGUGAUAACCUAGAUUCCUAUAUAUAGAUUCUUUUAAGAGUUAAUAGCCAAAAUGGUCCCUGAGUUUUGCUCACUUUUGCCACUUUAGUCCAAAAUCCAAAAUUUUUAAAUCUGGGUCCCUGAGGUUUGCAUUUUUUUUGCCAUUUUAGUCCAAAUUUCAAAAAAGCCAAAUUUUGUCAAUUUUUUUUACUGAAUUUUGUCUUUAUCCUUAUUUCUCACAAGGGCAAAUUUGUCAUUCUAUAUUAUUAUAAACCAAUUUAUAUUAAAGAAAAUAAAAAACCCCCUUAAAACCCCUGUAUCGAUCCAAAACCCUCAUUCCCCAUCAUCUUCUUCCUUCCUCACCUGCUUCAAACCCUAACAAUGGUGGUAUGCACAUGUGGAGCUCCGACGCAACUUCGCACAUCUUGGACCACACAAAACCCAGGUCGUCGAUUCCAUCGUUGCAACAAACCUAAGCCAGGGUAAAGUUGCGGUUUCGUUGCUUGGGCUGAGCCGCCGAUGAUUCAGAACCCUGCUGUGAUGAUUCCUGGGCUGUUGGACACCAUCAAGAAGCUUGAAGAUAAUGCAAUUGUAAUGUUUAACAGGAACAAGAAAGUUGAAGAAAAUGCAAUAAAACUGGCAAAGAUGAACAAGAUGCUGAAAGUAAUCAUAGGGUUCUGAACUGCCUUGUUGGACUGCUAGGAUUGCAAUUUGGCUCAACAUCAAUCUUAACUGUGCUGCCAGGAUUAGAUCUUAGUAGCUCCUCACCAUAAUCCCUAAGAUUCUCAUAUUGUGCCUUAUAAUGACCCUGCACUCUUUCUGUGGCCUUCAUCCUAGCCCUAAAAACUUGAUGCAAAGUAACCUCCACUUGAUACUUCCUUUGUAGAUCUUCCUGUAAAGCUUUUAGUGGAAUCCCAGGGUUGAUUUUAACAGUUUGUUGAAUCUUCUUAGCUAUCCAAGAAACUGUACAAAGUUUAACAUCUCUCGUGUUCAAACAUUCAUGCACAUUGUGGUAGGUUUUAACAACCCAAGACCCUGCUUUUUUCACUUUUGAAACAUACAAUAACCAAGGGCAAGUGGGUGGUGUAUUCUUUUUAGGGUUAGAAGUUGAAUUUCCUGAAUUACCCUUUGAUGUUCCCACGUGUGUGGGCCCAUGUGCCUCUUUGGCAUUUCUAGAAUUCUCCUUAAAUGCAAGUUGUUAGGAGGUGCCUUCAUCAUUUACUUCACAACUACUCAGUUUUGGUGUGACAACCCUCAAAAUUCCAUGUAUUCCGUACAAUUUAUUAUUGAUAAUUAAAGUGCUUGA